CCUACGGGGGGCAGCAGUGGGGGAUAUUGCACAAUGGGGGAAACCCUGAUGCAGCGACGCCGCGUGAGUGAAGAAGUAUUUCGGGAUGUAAAGCUCUAUCAGCAGGGAAGAAUGAGAUGACGAUACCUGAGUAAGAAGCGCCUGCUAACUUCGUGCCAGCCGCAGCGGUAAUACGUAGGCGGCAAGCGGUAUCAGGAAUUACUGGGUGUAAAGUGAGCGGGGACGGUAAUGCAAGUCUGGUGUGAAAGGCGGGCGCCCAACCUCCGGACUAUUAGGGAAACUGUGUAGCUGGAGUGCAGGAGAGGGAGGCGGAAUUCCUAGUGUAGGGGUGAAAUGCGUAGAUAUUAGGAGGAACACCAGUGGCGAAGGCGG
rnacentral:rRNA from 1 species